rnacentral:rRNA from 1 species
GACGAACGCUGGCGGCGUGCUUAACACAUGCAAGUCGAACGGAAAGGCCCUGCUUUUGUGGGGUGCUCGAGUGGCGAACGGGUGAGUAACACGUGAGUAACCUGCCCUUGACUUUGGGAUAACUUCAGGAAACUGGGGCUACUACCGGAUAGGAGCUCCUGCUGCAUGGUGGGGGUUGGAAAGUUUCGGCGGUUGGGGAUGGACUCGCGGCUUAUCAGCUUGUUGGUGGGGUAGUGGCUUACCAAGGCUUUGACGGGUAGCCGGCCUGAGAGGGUGACCGGGCACCAUGGGACUGAGGUACGGGCCAGAACCCAACCGGGGGCAAGAGGCGGGAAUAUUGCACAAUGGGCGGAAGCCUGAUGCAGCAACGCCGCGUGCGGGAUGACGGCCUUCGGGUUGUAAACCGCUUUCGCCUGUGACGAAGCGUGAGUGACGGUAAUGGGUAAAGAAGCACCGGCUAACUACGUG